UACGUAGGGCGCAAGCGUUGUCCGGAAUUAUUGGGCGUAAAGAGCUCGUAGGCGGUUUGUCGCGUCUGCUGUGAAAACCUAAGGCUCAACCUUGGGCUUGCAGUGGGUACGGGCAAACUAGAGUGUUGCAGGGGAGACUGGAAUUCCUGGUGUAGCGGUGAAAUGCGCAGAUAUCAGGAGGAACACCGGUGGCGAAGGCGGAUCU
rnacentral:rRNA from 1 species